rnacentral:rRNA from 1 species
UGGGGGAUAUUGCACAAUGGGCGAAAGCCUGAUGCAGCGACGCCGCGUGGGGGGUGAAGGCUUUCGGGUUGUAAACCUCUUUCGCUAUCGAACAAGGCCCGCUUAGGGUGGGUUGAGGGUAGGUGGAGAAGAAGCGCCGGCUAACUACGUGCCAGCAGCCGCGGUAAUACGUAGGGCGCGAGCGUUGUCCGGAAUGAUUGGGCGGAAAGGGCUUGUAGGCGGGUUGUUGCGCCUGCUGUGAAAACGCGGGGCUUAACUUCGCGCGUGCAGUGGAUACGGGCAGGCUUGAGUGUGGUAGGGGUGACUGGAAUUCCAGGUGUAGCGGUGGAAUGCGCAGAUAUCUGGAGGAACACCGAUGGCGAAGGCAGGUCACUGGGCCAUUACUGACGCUGAGGAGCGAAAGCAUGGGUAGCGAACAGG